UACCAGCACCCCGAGUGGUCGGGACGUUUUAUUGGGCCUAAAGCAUCCGUAGCCGGUUCUACAAGUCUUCCGUUAAAUCCAGCUGACUUAACAGAUGGGCUGCGGAAGAUACUAUGGAGCUAGGAGGCGGGAGAGGCAAGCGGUACUCGAUGGGUAGGGGUAAAAUCCGUUGAUCCAUUGAAGACCACCAGUGGCGAAAGGCGGCUAUCGUGGACGGUUACUGACGCUAAGACGGCGAAAGCCGUGGGGGAGCAAACAGG
rnacentral:rRNA from 1 species